AUCUUGCAAAAAUGGAGGAUAUGGAUUUGGGGCGCGCGCGAACUGUCCCGACAACGGCGGUGCUGCCUACCAACACCAUGUGCAAGACUGCCUGACUUGUCCUCUAUCUUAAUGUUGUCAGCAAGAAGUUACUCCAAAUUCCAUCGCCUAACAAUAUCAUCAGUUGUAAGAAGUUAGGAGUUUGGUACGUACCCCGGUGCAAGAGACCAUGGAUGCAAAAGUCAGAUAAUUAGGAACCUGGACUACAAGGGCAAAUGGGAGGCACCUUUCAUCGACAUUCAGCCCAGGGAACCUCAACUUUCCCACUGUUGUACAUUCAUACUACUGUCCAUGUAUCGCUUCUGCUCAACUAUAAUACACGGAAACAUGAAAGCUCAUGUUUUUCCCUUGUUUGUGCAGAGUACAAGGAUGAUUCCUACAUCUAUGCAUUGAUAUGCUGAACCACAUUGGCAUUGAGCCAAGCCAGAUGUCUGAUGUAGACAACUAAGGCAAUGGCUAUUGCAUUGUAGGACGAGAAGGUCCAACGCGGUGGCGGCGGGUACAUACCCAACGCGGCGACCCGUGGGCGCACCGGUUCUAGGGGCUUGAGAGCUGGGGCCGGCAUCCAGGCGGUGAACAUGGAUGGUGGCGUGUGGAAGUGGGCGGUGGUGGGCAGGGAACAAUGUGGCCCUGUCGGCGUCCUCUUCGUUUAGCUUGACAUGAUCGUUAUUCAGCUGAA